rnacentral:lncRNA from 1 species
CUACAGGUCUUGUUUAGUUUGUUAUUUUAUUUGUAUUGUUGUCUGAGGAAAAUAUGAUAUAGUCUUGAGCUGAAAAGCAUAGUUACAGAAUGCUUAGUAGUUUGAAACAAUGCACAUCAUUUCCUCAUAGUAUUGAUAAUUCUAAACAGAGCAGAACUUAAAUUACCACCACCUAAUUCAUGAGGACACCAUAUGCUCUAUGAGGAUGCUCUGCUAUGAAGUUGAGAUGUCAGUCUGAAAAUCUGGAUUCAAAAUGUUGCCUCUAACCACUGACACUCUCCAGCUGCAUCUGCAGGAAAACCAUCUUUCCUCCCAUUGCUUGUCAGUCUGUUCUACUUUCAGCCUCAGUUCAUAAAGAAAGGAGCAGAAAGCAAAAUGGGUAAUGAGGUUGCCCUGUCUCCUUACACUCACUCUGAAGUGAGGACAGCUGAACUUGUUAUUUACCAGCUGCUGAAGUGGCAAAAUUUGCAGAGUCAUGUUUUCAAGUAAAGCAUCUCUAGCUUUGGUCUGCCUGAAAUACCGCAGCCUUUACUGGAGCAGCUCAGGGGAAGAUUUUCAUCUUAACCAUUUCAACACGUGGGCCUGCUCUGCAAAAGGUGAGCCUGGAGCAAAGAGCAAGAGCCCCUUCCCAUGGUAUCCAAGUAAGAAGAGCAGAGAAAGUCUGGGAAUAGUAACCAGGUAUACAACGGCUCUGACUGCCAGACAAGUCCAUGGUGAUGUACUUGAGCUGAGACCAAGCUGGGAAGGCAAGUGAGCGGAUCAGAGAUGAGGUCAGGAUGACACAAGGCCAAGCACAGACAUCCCUACAAUGCAAUGUGGGCAAGGACUGUGGGCUGUGUCUAAGCCCAAAUGCAGCUCCUAGGCCUGGGGAGAGGACCGUGACAAGGAUGUUCUCAAUUUUCUCACACAGCUUUAGACCCAAGAUUACAGCCACACUGUGCUAGAGCUGUUCAUGAGCACCUGCAGCCAAAGCACUGCAGGAGGGAAAAGUACAGAGUGUAUUACAGCACUCAGGAGCUUGAAGCUGAGCAAGAACAAGUCAGCGAUGGAUGGAAGGCCAAGAAUGCUGAAAAAUCCACAGUGACUCUUUGACACUGUUUUUGUGGGCUUUUUCUUUUUUCUUUUUUUUUUUUCCGUUUUUGCCUGGAAGAUAUCUAGGCUUUGUUGGUCAAUUCAGUCUGUAGUUUAAAAAUAGCCUUACCUUCUGUCAUGGUAACAUAGGUCAUCCUAUGAGCCAUAACAGGAAAAAUUACAGAAAAGAAUAAAGGUUAAAAGUAUGAAAUUAUAAUAUGCA